CGGAAAAACAGACGUAAAGAGAACGCUACAUGUGAGAACAGGAAGAAUGAGAGACUACUUUAUGUGGGCAUACCUGAGUUUCUACACUAAUGGGGACCUUAUUUAAGCAAGGUUACCUGUUGUCUGACUUUUCUGAUGAAAUUGGUAAUUGUGUAACUGUAUGUAAAACAUAGAAGAAUAAAUAAAGGACACUAGAAAAUAA